GGGCACCACCAGGGGGUGCUGCUGCGGCUUAUUUGACUCAACACGGGAAAUCUCACCAGGCCCGGACACCGGAAGGAUUGACAGAUUAACAGCUCUUUCUUGAUUCGGUGGGUGGUGGUGCAUGGCCGUUCUUAGUUGGUGGAGCGAUUUGUCUGGUUAAUUCCGGUAACGAACGAGACUCUAGCCUGCUAAAUAGGCGUCGUCAUUUAGGUGUGCUCGACUUCGGUCGUGCAACUCACUGGCGACGUAUUAAAAUUCUUCUUAGAGGGACCGGUGGCUUCGAGCCACACGAGAUUGAGCAAUAACAGGUCUGUGAUGCCCUUAGAUGUCCUGGGCCGCACGCGCGCUACACUGAAGGAAUCA
rnacentral:rRNA from 1 species